rnacentral:rRNA from 1 species
CUCCUCUUGAUUAUAUUUUGAGGUCUUGCCUGCUCACUGACAAGUUUUAAAGAGCCGCGGUAUUUUGACCGUGCAAAGGUAGCAUAAUCAUUAGUCUCUUAAUUAGGGGCUGGAAUGAAUGGCUUGACGAGAAAUUAACUGUCUCUUAUUAAAUUGUAGAAUUUAACUUUUGAGUUAAAAGGCUUAAAUUUUUCUUAAAGACGAGAAGACCCUAUAGAGCUUGACAUUUUAUUUUAAUAUAAUUUUUAGAUAGUCUUUUUAUAUUUUAAGAUAAUGUUUUGUUGGGGUGACAUGAAGAAUAGAUAAACUCUUCAUUAUAAAAUCAUUGAUUUAUGUUUAUUUUGAUCCAUAAUUUAUGAUCAUAAGAUUAAGUUACCUUAGGGAUAACAGCGUAAUUGUUUUUGAGAGCUCAUAUUGACAAAGCAGAUUGCGACCUCGAUGUUGGAUUAAGAAUAAUUUUGGGUGCAGGAGCCCAGUAAUUAGGUCUGUUCGACCUUUAAAUCUU